GGUUAGGUUUGGGGGUAGGUUUUAGGCCCCCUGGAUGUCUGGUGCCCAAUUUGGAGAUCCAAAGGAGCUCCGCCCGGUGGCGUUGGGCGAGGCUCCAUUUGGGAUCCGUCUCUACGACAGUCGCCCGGACGGAAGACCACCCGUGUCGGAGAAAAUGCUGAACCAGACUAUGAAGGGCCUCGACUUCUCCGCGUGUCAAAUUGGGAGCGACCGCAGGUGCGCAACCCGAACCGGACAUGGAGAGCCCGUCGGACCGGACCAUAGCCUGGAAUUCCGGAGGCAUAAGUCCAGGUGAGGGCUCCCAGCCGGAACGGGCUGUGAACGGUGUGGGUCCGAGAGAAUCUUGUUUCUCAUAGUACACCUCAAGUUUAACACGUCUGUGGUAGCGCUGGAGAUCAAAUUGAAGUUGAUGAUGCCAGUCGCUACUGAGAUUAGUGGAGGGAAUGAAGUUGAGGCCCUUGUUAAGGAGGGAGAUUUGUAAGGGGGUUGGCGUGAAAUUAUGGGCCAAAUUUAUCACGUUCUUAUUACCCCCCCGAGCGAUCGGGAUUAUGGGGAUGCCAAGUUUAAAAAGUCAAGCCAGUGCUUGAGCAUCAACUUGGCCGUGUCCCGCGUCCAGUGGACCAGGUCGGGUUGGGUCUCAAAGUCCCGGCUGUCGAGGGCCGGGAUGUGAGCAUAAUUGUUCCUGAUGAAACCAUUCAGCAGCCCGAGAUUAUUUUUCUGCUCAACGGGCAAAGAAGCCGAAUAAUUAAUCAGGGGGAUUAGCACUCGGGCCCGUGGGAAGGUGGCCGCGCCCAUCCUGAGUGCCCCUUGGAGCUGCUUAAUAGCGGUCUCCUUAACUUUCUGCUCACGAUGGUUGAUCCCAAAUGCUAGAACCAACACUUCAACCGGUGCAGCAAUUAUAGUCUUGCGUAGGAUGGCCUCCGCGUGUCUAAAACUAGCGCCCGGGUAACUGUCGAUCUGAAGGUCGUCGACGUAAAAGGGUGGUAGAUGGGACAGAUUGGAGUCGCCGAUCACCAAGAAUUUCUUGUUGGCCGACAACUUCCAAUCCAUCAUCCUCCUACUCGAGACCAUGUGUCUAGUGGGUCUACGGGGGGAGGCACUAGUCGUAUCCUCUACCAACUCGACACAUUCUGGAAUAGACAGGUGUUGUGGAGUAUCUGGGACGGAAGGCCUCUUGUGUGGCUUCCUUUUUAGUGCCCCAGGGAACAAAUGUGCCCAAUCGGGGGACUCCUGAGGAAGCAUCUCCUGAGGGGGCGUCUCCUGAGGAGGCGUCCGCUGCAAGGGUGAGUCCUCAUAGUCCACCAUAGGAGCCCCGGAAAGUGUGGGCCCCCGUGGUGAAAAUUCACCCUGUGGUGCCGUCUCAUCUGCCGUCUCAGGCUGGAGAGGGGACCAGUCGGGGGUCGCGGAAGAGUAACGAGGGGACAUCACCGAAGAAAGCCCCCGCUCCUGUUCUUCAUCCCGAAAGUCGAUCAGGAGAGGCGAGGAGGCCGUGGGUCCCCCUGGUGAUCCCAGAGGAAGCCUCCUGCGAGAUGCAGGAAUAAGCUGGGUGGGCGGAGCCUCGCCGAGGGUGUCCUGGGCAGGCCCGCUGUCCGUGGCCCGGGGCUGUGUCACCCUCUGCUCCUUGGGUGGUUCCGGUCGACGAGGAAGGAAGAUCGGGGCAACCCGUGCUGGAGGGAUUGCUUCCCGAUCCACCUCAGGAGACCAAUCUGGAGCCACGGCGUCGGUGCUGGUAGCCACCGAGACCCGGGCGACGACCCGAGCCGGAGGGCUGCUAGCCCGUACCACCCCAGGAGCCCCGUCAGGGCCCGUAGGGUCAGUAUGGGUGCCCACCGAUACCCGGGUGGCGGUCUGGACCGGCAAGGACUGGGCCGGGCGUACCACCUCAGCGUUGACAGGGGGGUCGGCGAAGGCCGCGACGAUCAGAGCCUCGGCCUUCCCGAGGGUGUCCCCCAUCAGUCUGCGUCCCAGAUGUUUCUUGGCCCAUGUAGAGGCCAGCUGAAAAGCGGGUCUCCAGACCUCAUCAAUAAAACUGGUUAUCUUGUCCAA